AGAGUAUGAUCCUGGCUCAGAACGUACGCUGGCGGCACGCCUAACACAUGCAAGUCGAACGAAGUAGCAAUACUUAGUGGCAGACGGGUGAGUAACAUGUAGGUAUCUACCCUUUGGCCAGGAAUAACACGAGGAAACUUGUGCUAAUACCUGAUAAGUCUUUACGGAGAAAGCUUUAUGCACCAUUGGAUGAGCCUGCACUUGAUUAGUUAGUUGGUGGGGUAAAGGCCUACCAAGACUUUGAUCAAUAGCUGAUUUGAGAGGAUGAUCAGCCACAUUGGGACUGAGACACGGCCCAAACUCCUACGGGAGGCAGCAGUGGGGAAUCUUGCACAAUGGAGGAAACUCUGAUGCAGCGAUGCCGCGUGAGUGAAGAAGGCCUUUGGGUUGUAAAGCUCUUUCGUCGGGGAAGAAAAUGACUGUACCCGAAUAAGAAGGUCCGGCUAACUUCGUGCCAGCAGCCGCGGUAAUACGAAGGGACCUAGCGUAGUUCGGAAUUACUGGGCUUAAAGAGUUCGUAGGUGGUUGAAAAAGUUGGUGGUGAAAUCCCAGAGCUUAACUCUGGAACUGCCAUCAAAACUUUUCAGCUAGAGUUUGAUA
rnacentral:rRNA from 1 species